rnacentral:rRNA from 1 species
UUAAGUUAUUAAGGGCGCACGGUGGAUGCCUUGGCACUAGAAGCCGAUGAAGGACGUUACUAACGACGAUAUGCUUUGGGGAGCUGUAAGUAAGCUUUGAUCCAGAGAUUUCCGAAUGGGGAAACCCAGCAUGAGUUAUGUCAUGUUAUCGAUAUGUGAAUACAUAGCAUAUCAGAAGGCACACCCGGAGAACUGAAACAUCUUAGUACCCGGAGGAAGAGAAAGAAAAUUCGAUUCCCUUAGUAGCGGCGAGCGAAACGGGAAGAGCCCAAACCAACAAGCUUGCUUGUUGGGGUUGUAGGACACUCUAUACGGAGUUACAAAGGACGACAUUAGACGAAUCAUCUGGAAAGAUGAAUCAAAGAAGGUAAUAAUCCUGUAGUCGAAAAUGUUGUCUCUCUUGAGUGGAUCCUGAGUACGACGGAGCACGUGAAAUUCCGUCGGAAUCUGGGAGGACCAUCUCCUAAGGCUAAAUACUCUCUAGUGACCGAUAGUGAACCAGUACCGUGAGGGAAAGGUGAAAAGCACCCCGGAAGGGGAGUGAAAUAGAACCUGAAACCGUGUGCUUACAAGUAGUCAGAGCCCGUUAAUGGGUGAUGGCGUGCCUUUUGUAGAAUGAACCGGCGAGUUACGAUUUGAUGCAAGGUUAAGCAGUAAAUGUGGAGCCGUAGCGAAAGCGAGUCUGAAUAGGGCGUUUAGUAUUUGGUCGUAGACCCGAAACCAGGUGAUCUACCCUUGGUCAGGUUGAAGUUCAGGUAACACUGAAUGGAGGACCGAACCGACUUACGUUGAAAAGUGAGCGGAUGAACUGAGGGUAGCGGAGAAAUUCCAAUCGAACCUGGAGAUAGCUGGUUCUCUCCGAAAUAGCUUUAGGGCUAGCCUCAAGUGAUGAUUAUUGGAGGUAGAGCACUGUUUGGACGAGGGGCCCCUCUCGGGUUACCGAAUUCAGACAAACUCCGAAUGCCAAUUAAUUUAACUUGGGAGUCAGAACAUGGGUGAUAAGGUCCGUGUUCGAAAGGGAAACAGCCCAGACCACCAGCUAAGGUCCCAAAAUAUAUGUUAAGUGGAAAAGGAUGUGGCGUUGCCCAGACAACUAGGAUGUUGGCUUAGAAGCAGCCAUCAUUUAAAGAGUGCGUAAUAGCUCACUAGUCGAGUGACACUGCGCCGAAAAUGUACCGGGGCUAAACAUAUUACCGAAGCUGUGGAUUGUCCUUUGGACAAUGGUAGGAGAGCGUUCUAAGGGCGUUGAAGCAUGAUCGUAAGGACAUGUGGAGCGCUUAGAAGUGAGAAUGCCGGUGUGAGUAGCGAAAGACGGGUGAGAAUCCCGUCCACCGAUUGACUAAGGUUUCCAGAGGAAGGCUCGUCCGCUCUGGGUUAGUCGGGUCCUAAGCUGAGGCCGACAGGCGUAGGCGAUGGAUAACAGGUUGAUAUUCCUGUACCACCUAUAAUCGUUUUAAUCGAUGGGGGGACGCAGUAGGAUAGGCGAAGCGUGCGAUUGGAUUGCACGUCUAAGCAGUAAGGCUGAGUAUUAGGCAAAUCCGGUACUCAUUAAGGCUGAGCUGUGAUGGGGAGAAGACAUUGUGUCUUCGAGUCGUUGAUUUCACACUGCCGAGAAAAGCCUCUAGAUAGAAAAUAGGUGCCCGUACCGCAAACCGACACAGGUAGUCAAGAUGAGAAUUCUAAGGUGAGCGAGCGAACUCUCGUUAAGGAACUCGGCAAAAUGACCCCGUAACUUCGGGAGAAGGGGUGCUCUUUAGGGUUAACGCCCAGAAGAGCCGCAGUGAAUAGGCCCAAGCGACUGUUUAUCAAAAACACAGGUCUCUGCUAAACCGUAAGGUGAUGUAUAGGGGCUGACGCCUGCCCGGUGCUGGAAGGUUAAGAGGAGUGGUUAGCUUCUGCGAAGCUACGAAUCGAAGCCCCAGUAAACGGCGGCCGUAACUAUAACGGUCCUAAGGUAGCGAAAUUCCUUGUCGGGUAAGUUCCGACCCGCACGAAAGGCGUAACGAUUUGGGCACUGUCUCAACGAGAGACUCGGUGAAAUCAUAGUACCUGUGAAGAUGCAGGUUACCCGCGACAGGACGGAAAGACCCCGUGGAGCUUUACUGUAGCCUGAUAUUGAAAUUCGGCACAGCUUGUACAGGAUAGGUAGGAGCCUUUGAAACGUGAGCGCUAGCUUACGUGGAGGCGCUGGUGGGAUACUACCCUAGCUGUGUUGGCUUUCUAACC